AGCAUCGGAACGUGCCCGGUAGUGCGGGAUAGCUCGGCGAAAGCCGGAUUAAUACCGCAUGAGAUCCGAGGAUGAAAGCAGGGGACCCGCAAGGGCCUUGCGCUACUGGAGCGGCCGAUGUCAGAUUAGGUAGUUGGUGGGGUAAAGGCCUACCAAGCCUGCGAUCUGUAGCUGGUCUGAGAGGAUGAUCAGCCACAUCGGGACUGAGACACGGCCCGAACUCCUACGGGAGGCAGCAGUGGGGAAUUUUGGACAAUGGGCGCAAGCCUGAUCCAGCCAUGCCGCGUGCAGGAUGAAGGCCUUCGGGUUGUAAACUGCUUUUGUACGGAACGAAAAGCCCCCUUCUAAUAAAGGGGGGUGAUGACGGUACCGUAAGAAUAAGCACCGGCUAACUACGUGCCAGCAGCCGCGGUAAUACGUAGGGUGCAAGCGUUAAUCGGAAUUACUGGGCGUAAAGCGUGCGCAGGCGGUUAUGUAAGACAGAGGUGAAAUCCCCGGGCUCAACCUGGGAACUGCCUUUGUGACUGCAUAGCUUGAGUGCGGCAGAGGGGGAUGGAAUUCCGCGUGUAGCAGUGAAAUGCGUAGAUAUGCGGAGGAACACCGAUGGCGAAGGCAAUCCCCUGGGCCUGCACUGACGCUCAUGCACGAAAGCGUGGGGAGCAAACAGGAUUAGAUACCCUGGUAGUCCACGCCCUAAACGAUGUCAACUGGUUGUUGGGAAUUAACUUUCUCAGUAACGAAGCUAACGCGUGAAGUUGACCGCCUGGGGAGUACGGCCGCAAGGUUAAAACUCAAAGGAAUUGACGGGGACCCGCACAAGCGGUGGAUGAUGUGGUUUAAUUCGAUGCAACGCGAAAACCUUACCCACCUUUGACA
rnacentral:rRNA from 1 species